CAGUUUUCUACCAGCAUUCCUGUCUUGAAUCACCUGCAGUAGCAUCUUUAUGUUCUCUUUAUUCUCUUUUUCCAUGUCUGUUUUCUGUCUAUGUUCCUUAUUUUUAACAGUUUAAGUUCAUUUGUAUCAGUUUUAGGUGAAACUGAAAAGAGCUAAAAGUGAACUAUUGAGUUGAAAUGUGUCCUCUGUGUUGGCUGAUGAACAUAUGGGACACUCUGACACUUGUGUAUAGAGUGGUAUCCUAAUGAAGAUGUGUUUGAUGUGACAGGUGAUUGGCAGGAGGAGGAGAGUCUGACGGAGGAGCAGAGGAACGUUGGCAGCCAUUUAGUCUGAGCUCAACAACGGAGGAAACAUGGAUUCUUCACAAAAAAAUGGAACAGAUGGACAAAACUCUCAGACUUGUCAGCACUCUGCCAAUGGUGAACAGUGCUGCUUUGACCAGUCUGGACCAACGUCCAACCAACAAGGAACCCUACAACAACACCAACGUAUGCACACUGGACACAGACUGAACCCCUGCCAAGAAGAUUUGUCCAUGCAGGGUUCAGUAAAAGUUCAUGAAGUCCUCCACAAACUUAAAGUCCUUGAGAUCCGGCUUCACAGAAUUCAGCUCUAAUUUCUUGUUUAGUGUCUUCGUUGCUUCGUUGCAAAAUCCAUUAAGAGGAAAGCUGUAGUUAACAGACGUGACUGGUAAAUUAAUUAAACCAUUCAAAGUGGUUACUCAGUUAAAUGAAUUAUCAGUGGUAGAGGGAUAGACGUCUGGAUGGAUGGAGGCAGUGAGCAGCAGGGCAAAUUUCUUCAAUUACCAGCUUAAUCAUUCCUCAGAUCCCUCUGGGCUGCAGGAACCCGUUAGAUGCAGAGCUGGUUCAGUGAUUCUCUGAUGAUUAAUCAUAAUUAAUUUAGGAGAUUACUGGCCUUAGGAUUCAUAUCUAUCUAUCAUCUAUCUAUCUCUCUCUCUCUCUCAGGACAAUGAUGAAGAAUCUCUAAUAUUGAACAAGUAGAUCAAAUAAUCUCAGAUUAUGUGUGAGUUGAAAUACAAAAACAUAAAUUGUUAGAUGAAAAGUAGAAUCUUUGAAAGCUGACAUGUAGUUUAGAAUCACUUCUUUGUAAAUUAGCUGCAUCCAGUCAUGACAAUGACAUUGGCGUCAUGGAACCAUGACCACAUAUACACCCCCUGUCAAACGUUUUAGGACAGGUACUAAUUGAUUUGAAUGAGAAAGUGUCCUAAAACAUUUGACAGAGGGUGUAUGUGUCUGUCGAUAGUGGCUUUUUCAAUGUUUUUUUUUUUUUUUUUCAAAAUUGAGUUGUUUUAAAGUUUGAAAAUGUGGGAAAAAAUAUAUAUUUUCACAGUGAAACUUCUGAUGUCCACGUUUUCAACAUUUUUGGGAAAUCUUUGAACAUUUUUAGGUGGAAAUAAAGAAAAAUUAAAAAUAUUUCUAAAGAAGGGAUUUUGGUUGAUUUUUAUGUGAAUGUUUGUAAAGAAAAUAUUAGACGUUUUACUGAAAUAUAUGUAAUCUCUUUAGAUAUUUUUAGGAUUUUUUUUGGAAGAUUUUUACUCUCUUUUUGGAAAAUAUUUACAACAAAUUUUCUUUCCAAAUUUGGGGGAUUUUUUUGAAAAGAAAACUUAAGAAAUUACUGGAAUUUUCUUCCUGAAGGUUUUGCAAAUUUUCAGAAAUUUGGGGAAUUUUUUUGGCUGAAUUUUUUGAUUUUUUUUUUUUUUAAAGACAAGGAAACAAUGUUUUUUUUUUUUUUGCCUGUAAAUGAGUACAACAGGAGGGUUAAAACAUUAAAAGGCAACAUUAUUAAGGUUUCUUUUAUCAAACGUUUUUCAUCAACAAGUACACAAAAUAGAUUAAAAAUAUAAUCUAACAUAUUUACUGAUUAAAAACUUUGAAUUUCUUCUUUAUGUUGUUCUUCUGCAUAACUCAUUAUUUCAAACUGGCUCAUGUUACUUCCAUGUGAUCUGCCAUUAAAACGGCCACAUUCUACCAUAAACACUGUAAAUAAUAACACACCUGCUCAAAGUUAAAGGCCAACAUACGACCCAAACAUGACAUGGAUUUGGUGCCACUUUGAACUAAGAUGAUCUCUUCUGUUAAACAAACCGUUGAUUGUGAAUCUUUUUUCCAGAUAUGAAGCUGCUCCUUCCAGGUCCACAGACAGUAAACAAAACAAAGCUCUCUGUAAAAACCCUCAGAAUGUUGAAUAGAAUAAAUGUGGACAGUUUCAUGACUGGAAGAGAAGAUUUCUGGAUCAUUUUGUGUCUCAUUUGUGUCAUUAUGUGUUUUGUUUUGGUCAGUUUACGUCUUUCUGUCUGGUUUUAAACAUUUUGCAUCUUUUCAUGUUAUUUUUCUUCCAUUUUGGUCAUUUUGUGUGUUUUUAGGUUUGUUUCUGUUUAAAAUUGUUCAUCUUGUUAGUUCUUUUGGUCAGUUCACGUCUAUUUCAUCGUUCUGUGACUCAGUGGCCAUUUCUGUUUCAGUUUUCGUCUCAUUUUUGCUCUGAAUUGCUCAUUUUAUCUCUCAUUUUAGUUAUUUUCCAUCACUUUAAGGUUGUUUUUGUUCAAUUUUGGUCAUUGUGCAUCUUAUUGGAUCAUUUUGUGCAUUUCAUCAUGUCUUUAGAAAAAAACGUAUCAAUCAGACUGUAAAUGAUCUAUGAACAAACCUCUGUGUAAAACCUUCAGAAUGUUGAAUAGAAUAAAUUUGGACCGUGAUGAAUGUCAGUAAAGAUUUCUGGAUCAAUCUGGUCAUUUUGAGGCUAAUUUUGGUCAUGUUUUUAUCUAAUUCAGGUCAUUUUUUUUGUCUGUCGUUGUGCCAUUUGUCCCCUCGAGGACAAAUGGUUCAAUCCCAGAAUGAGGGUAUGUAUUGAAAAAAUAUCAUCCAAAAUUAGUCCAGAGUAGUGACUAUAAUUUCAAUUUUAAUACACUUUACCAAGUGCUUUAGGUGAAAAAAAAAACAUGUUUACACAGCAUGAUGUUGCUUUGUGAUGUUGCAACUGACAUGCUGAUUUCAAAAUGGAAGCAUUUUAAUUUCUAAUGCUCUCAUAGAAGAUGACUGGUCAAUAAAAUUGACUCCUGUGACUCUGAUGUCAUGCAGAGUCUUUAUGCUAUGAUGUGGAAAGGGUGAAAGAAGACAGACUGGACAUUUCUGAGUGAAACUGAACAUGGCAUGUACUGAUUCAUAAAAAACAAGUGUAGUAUUAUCUUUAAUCAAUAUGUAGAACAUGUUUUGAUGUCAAUCCAAUUAUGUCUGACUAUUUGUUGAGUCAGUGAAAGUUAUCUUAUAGAGCAAUGUUUGUAUUAUUUCAAUACUGAGACAUUGUUGCAGUGUCAUUUGUCAUUUGUUUCCAUUUGGAUGUAUUGUACAGUUAGAUUCUAUUGAGUUUCCAUACAACAUUACAUUGCUGUUAAGGUGUCUGAAUCAUUCAGUGAGGGUUUGGUCAUGUGCUACUAUAAGGCCGUGCAUAAAAAGAAAAUCAAGCCUGUUACAGUGUUGCUCUAGUCCCCUCUGUUAAAUGGCAUCAAAACAAUGGUCAACGUGAACAAAUCAUGAGUGUUGACAUUGACUCACAACAGUACCUCUCAACUGUUCCAAUUUUGAUCUAUUUAGGAGAACAAUGUGAUGAGUGCACCGAGAGAUCCAAUACAGGGAGCUUUCCUUUUUCAAAGAUCAUUAGAAGGACAGAAGACAAAGUAAGUUUCAGCAAACAGCUUUUUAUUUUCUAAUGAGCCAAUCUAUAGUAUUUAAAGUGCAGAGUUAUUUGUGUUAGAUUUGAACAAAAUUCUUCCAACAGUGUAAGGACUUAGUCUUUCUACUUUCAUUUGCAAUUGUUCUAGAAACCUAUCAUCUGGGUCAGGUGGUCCCUCUGCAGCACAAGGAGUACUAUCCCACAUUGGAUCUGAUGUUAAUAUUUCCCUUAGACAUGGUGCUUCUUCAGUGGCGUCCCUGCACAACAUGGUAAAUGUCAAAUAAUGUCUUGUCUGCUUUUGCAGUGAGAGGACAGAUUUGGUAAAUAGUCAGCACUGGCAGUCCACAACAAAUGCAGGGUGUUGCACAGGCAGAUUCUAGAUGACAUCGUGUUAUGUAAGACAUCCUUGUAGGUUUUUCAUCUUUCUACUCUCUGUGAAAGAGCAAAAUUGUAUUAGAUUAAGUCAAAGACAACUUCAAGUAUUUGUAAGAAUGAAUUUAAAUUAAGUGAAAUGAUUUAUUGACAGGUAAC